UGGUGGGUAGUUUGACUGGGGCGGUCUCCUCCUAAAGAGUAACGGAGGAGCACGAAGGUUGGCUAAUCCUGGUCGGACAUCAGGAGGUUAGUGCAAUGGCAUAAGCCAGCUUGACUGCGAGCGUGACGGCGCGAGCAGGUGCGAAAGCAGGUCAUAGUGAUCCGGUGGUUCUGAAUGGAAGGGCCAUCGCUCAACGGAUAAAAGGUACUCCGGGGAUAACAGGCUGAUACCGCCCAAGAGUUCAUAUCGACGGCGGUGUUUGGCACCUCGAUGUCGGCUCAUCACAUCCUGGGGCUGAAGUAGGUCCCAAGGGUAUGGCUGUUCGCCAUUUAAAGUGGUACGCGAGCUGGGUUUAGAACGUCGUGAGACAGUUCGGUCCCUAUC
rnacentral:rRNA from 1 species